rnacentral:misc_RNA from 1 species
CUGAUCCUCAAGUCCCCUUCAUCGACCAGCUCGACCGUCUGGAGCGGGUUGUUAUCGGAGGAUUCUGCACUAGUAUCCCACUCUGACUUACUCCCAUCGUACACUUGCAGUCCGCUGUCAGAGAAUACAAGUGCACAAGCAUUGGUGGUGCUCACGGGGGCGCAGUCGGACUCCCAGACGCUUUGCUCGGUGCCGGUGGUGGUGUCUUGAAUUUGGAUGUAGCAGAAGUCGUUGCCGAAUCCCCCUGCUCCAGGGGCGGUUUCGCGGCGGAGAAGAUAGGCGGUGUAUUGGCCAGAAGGGGAGGUGAGGAAUGGGAGGGAGUUAUCUUCCGAGUUAGGUGGGAUGGUGGCGACUAUCUGCUGCUUUGUGGUCCUCUGGAGUGUUCCCGAUGCUGGGGUGGGUUGAGCUUGAG